CUCAUCAUCUUCUAAGCCCCUUCUUUCCCCUUUAACCCUAACAUCACCCACCACCGUACUGCAUUAUAUCAUCAUCCUGAAUCCCCAUCUACUCCAACAACAUCGCCGGCCUUCAUCUUCCAUCUCCGUCGCACACCGACGUCACCCACAUCCCCGUCGCUGGUUCGACGUCGUCACCUGAACCCCACCCCCAUCGGACACCUCUUUCGCUGCAGACAGUCACCAUCGCCGCCCGUCGCUGGUUCCGACCACCACCGUAUUCAGCCGUCAUUAUGCAACAACCGGUGCUCCUCCGCUUCUAAACUCAGGUAUGUCUCGAUUAUCUUUCGUUCUCUUCCUAGCGACAUCCUGGAACAACCGUCACUCUUGCUCCUGUGACACCACUCCGAACCGGCUCUGAUUGUCGUCGUUACUGGUCUCCGCCUUCAGGUACGUUUCUGUUUCUUUUCUCAUAUCGACAUUAGGUCCUUUGUCUAUUGAAACCCUUUCAAGUAACCUAACACCUCGUCAAUUUGAAUGAGACCUGCUACUGAUUCAAGCCCUAACCUCUGUUACUUGAAUUGAACAGUCCCACUUUGCUUGGAAUUGAACUUAAAUGAAUUAAUGUUUUAUCAGGGAAGGAGUUCUUAGAAUUGGAAUUUGGUUUGCAAAAAAUUGGUUCAGUUCACUGACAUGCAUUUUAAUGAAUUAGUUUUGCAUCCGAAUUGGUUGAUUGUUGCUAUUGUUUGAAUGAUUAUGUUAUCUUGAGUUUAUUGGCUUAUAGAUGUGUAUCAUGGGUUCGAGGCAAAUUCAUCAGGUAUGGUACUUUUUAGCGAACAUCAGGUUGUGGACAUAUGGGUAAAACACAUAAAGAAAAUAAAUGUAGUCCCAACUGUUGCGCCUCCACUGGUUUAGUAGAUGCAUUCCACAUUCAUCUCCAAGCAUCGAGGACGAUACUAUAUCUUAAGCUUGGGGAGGUUGUGAUUUGAGGGGCGGAGUGAUUGCGAGCAAUAACUAAAAGGUCGAGUAGAUUAUGAGCAUUGAAAGAUGAUGAAGAAGCUUAAACUAGAGACGGGCCAUGAGUUGGGCUCAUUAAAUAAAAUGGUUUUGGUGAAUUGUAAUUAGUGAAGAUGGGCUGAACUAACAAUUCCUUUUGGGCUGCCAAGAAAAAAAAAACGAAAGAAAAGAAAAAUGAAGUUUGGCAAGUAGGAGAAAAGAAAGAACAAUAUAUCAUCACCCAACAACCUGGACGAAAAGAAGGCAACAAUUCUGGACGACUUCGAAGACGGCUGCAAUCCAGAGAGAAGCAAGAGUUGGGAUUUUGGGAAGUAUUUUUGGUUUCGUACGUUGUUAGUUCUAUGUUUUGUUUCAUUUUAGUAUUGAUUGUUCUAGCCAUCAUGUCCGGCUAGACUCUUAUAGUUUCGACAUCGUUUAUUUUCUUUGAUUUGGUUCAUAAACUUAUGUGAAACGAGCACGUUAGAUCCAAUUAUUUUAGUGGUUUGUUUAUAUGA